GACGAACGCUGGCGGCGUGCCUAAUACAUGCAAGUAGAACGCACAGUUUAUACCGUAGCUUGCUACACCAUAGACUGUGAGUUGCGAACGGGUGAGUAACGCGUAGGUAACCUGCCUGGUAGCGGGGGAUAACUAUUGGAAACGAUAGCUAAUACCGCAUAAUAUUGAUUAUUGCAUGAUAAUUAAUUGAAAGGUGCAAUUGCACCACUACCAGAUGGACCUGCGUUGUAUUAGCUAGUAGGUGAGGUAACGGCUCACCUAGGCGACGAUACAUAGCCGACCUGAGGGGGGGAUCGGCCACAAUGGGACGGAGACACGGCCCAGACUCCUACGGGAGGCAGCAGUAGGGAAUCUUCGGCAAUGGACGAAAGUCUGACCGAGCAACGCCGCGGGAGUGAAGAAGGUUUUCGGAUCGUAAAGCUCUGUUGUAAGGGAAGAACGGGUGGGGGAGGGGAAAGUUCACACUGGGACGGGUUCUUCCAAAAAAGGGACGGCAAAUUACUG
rnacentral:rRNA from 1 species